ACUGCUCAGUAACACGUGGAUAACCUACCCUUAGGACUGGGAUAACCCUGGGAAACUGGGGAUAAUACUGGAUAGGCAAUUAUUCCUGUAAUGGUUUUUUGUUUAAAUGUUUUUUCGCCUAAGGAUGGGUCUGCGGCCGAUUAGGUAGUUGGUUAGGUAAUGGCUUACCAAGCCUUUGAUCGGUACGGGUUGUGAGAGCAAGAGCCCGGAGAUGGAACCUGAGACAAGUUCCAGGCCCUACGGGGUGGCAGCAAGCGCGAAACCUCCGCCAUGUGAGGAAAUCGCGACGGGGGGAUCCCAGUGCAUUCUUAACGGAUGGCUUUUCAUUAGUGGUAAGAAGCUUUUGGAAUAGAAGCUGGGCAGACCGGUGCCAGCCGCGCGGUAACACGGCAGCUCUAGUGUAGCAGUUUAUUGGCCUAAGCGUCGUAGCCGGUAUAAGUCCUGUGAAAUCCUGCACUUACUGGGUUGCUGAGAUACUAUUAGACUUGAGAUCGGGAGAGGUUAGAGGUACUCCCAGGGUAGAGGUGAAAUUCUGUAAUCCUGGGAGGACCGCCUGUUGCGAAGGCGUCUGACUGGAACGAUUCUGACGGUGAGGGACGAAAGCUAGGGGCGCGAACCGGAUUAGAUACCCGGGUAGUCCUAGCUGUAAACGAUGCGGACUUGGUGUUGGGGUGGCUUUGAGCUGUCCCAGUGCCGAAGGGAAGCUGUUAAGUCCGCCGCCUGGGAAGUACGGUCGCAAGACUGAAACUUAAAGGAAUUGGCGGGGGAG
rnacentral:rRNA from 1 species